rnacentral:sRNA from 1 species
CCAUAGCCCUGAUAGAAGUAAAAAUCCUCCUAGAGCCAGAGUUUGGCUCUAGGAGAUUGUAGCGAAUAGCAGGAAAUAGC